rnacentral:lncRNA from 1 species
AUCCCUCCAAACAAAUCCAAACUCUCAGAAAUUUGCAGAGAUUUGAUCUCUCCAAACAGAAUAUCUCUAGAUAGGACCAAAAUCUCAUGGUCGCAUGCAUAUAAAAAACCUCUCGGCAUCCGAACAACCUUGUACAUCAUCUUCCUCCAUUGAACAACACUUUAAGGUCAACUUCCUCCAACCAGUGGCACUUCGGCAUUGGGCACCAGCCGGCUCCGUUGAACAACUAGAUCACCUCCAGUAUGUACGAUCUGCAUGAAAUUAUAGAUCAGACCUAUUAAUGGAUAAUGAGAGGAUGUAGCCCACUAUACCCCCACAAAAAAAUGAAAAACAAAUGGAGACCCUCAAUUACUCUGGGCAGUGCUAAACUAAAAUAUUAUUCUAGCGUGAUCCUCUACUAUAUUUUGGGUUGUGGGAUGGCUUCAAUAGGCCUCAAAUCCAUUAAGAAGCACAUGACAGUGCAGUAUGGUAAUAACUUGGAGUUUGUAGAUUAGAUAAUGGUUCACAUAAUACUUUGCAUGAGUACCUCAGUAAUUUUGUCUAAUAAAGUACUCCCUCCGUUCCAAAAUAGAUGACCCAACUUUGUACUAACUUUAGUACAAAGUUGGGUCAUCCAUUUUGGAACGGAGGGAGGACCUCAUUAAUCAGGUAGAGAUUGCUUCGGUCGGCUUCUACUAGAAAAUACUCACGAUAUUUGUGUAUUCACAUGAUGAUAAAAACUUAAGUUCCUCUUUAUCAUUAAAGAUUUCUGCAAAUCACUAGUCUCGAAAAUUGAUCUCCUUUACUUGUACGACCAAAAAAAUAUUUAUAGGGUGAGAAGUAAUAAAAAUAAUGAAUAUUCAUAAACUUGAGCAUUAAUCUUUAAUAGUAGCACACCCACCAUCAAGCGGGGCAGCUGGUCAAGGUCUCAAGCGGCCGAGAAGGGUACUCCCCAUGUCCAAUGACCAGCUGGAGCACCGCCAUGAUAUUUAUCGUCGUCCAUCGCCACAGCAAAGCACGAUCUCUAGGUCCACCA